CAGCAAGUGACAAGACUGAGGCAGGCAGAGUGGCCGAGCGGGGUAGAGGGGCUGGAGACAGCAGUCAUGUGGAUGUUUUGGCACACAGGGGUCUGAAGGAGCCUGAUUGUUGAAGCAAAACUUCCCGUUUACCUACUGAUUGGAGGGUUUUUGAGCAUCUGGAAGCCAGAACAAAAAUGCUUCUUUCCAUCCUAGACCAUCCAUCCUCCCGCUGACCUUCCAGAUGACUGCAGGUGCAUGAGCACGCCCAGCAGGGAUCAGCUGAGCAAAAUCACCUCGCCGAAUCAUAGGUACAUAGCCACUCUAAGCCACUAAAUUUUGAGCUUAUUAACUUACAGAAAAAACAGCCUGCUUGAUUCAUUUUUGCUAUCUUUGAAGUAGUGGACAUGUAGGGAUGACAAUGAAAUUCAUUUAUUAUUAUGAUUAUUAAACC
rnacentral:lncRNA from 1 species